UUCAACGCGUGCACAUAAUAAAGUUAUGAAAUAUCAUUUUUCUUAACGGAAGAAAUAUCUGUUAAAUGACAAAAUAUAUGCUUUUCCAUUGAAGUUCAUAAAAUUUUAUUCUUCUGUCAUUUUGUUUGUUCUGGCAUUCAAUAAUCACACUAAUAUUCAUAUAUUAAAUAAAAACAAAAUAAAAAUUCAAUGCGUGCACAUAAUAAAGUUAUGAAAUGUCAUUUUUCUUAACGGAAGAAAUAUCUAUUAAAUGACAAAAUAUAUGCUUUUCCAUUGAAGUUCAUAAAAUUUUCUUCUUCUGUCUUUUUGUUUGUUCUGGCAUUCAAUAAUCACACUAAUAUUCAUAUGUUAAAUAAAAACAAAAUAAAUAUUCAACGCGUGCACACAAUAAAGUUAUGAAAUAUCAUUUUUCUUAACGGAAGAAAUAUUUAUUAAAUGACAAAACAUUUUUUAACGUUUAUAAAGAUUUGGAAAGAUUUGCAUCUUAAACACCACAUGUCUAACUCGAAAUCAUCUGCCAAAAUACAUAUAUGUAUGUCUAACUCGAAAUAUAAUAUCAUCAAAAGCCACGAUAGAUCGCUGAAAUGUGCUACUCAAUCACAUGCCGCUAGCAUGGGGCAAAGAAAUCUGAUAACGCUGAUUUUGCAUAAUGCUAAAAGAUACUACUAAAUUCAGAAGGAUUCCAAAACUUCUAAGAAGAAGCAAAACAUCUGUAUGAAUCUUGUAUCAUGUUGGUAUUUCAGAAUCAUUUACGUUGGUCAGAAUAAGUACUCCAUGCCUAUGUAAUGUUUAUGUUAGGCAGUACAUACAUAGAAGGUAUAGAGUAAUGCUGCAGUGGUUUUAAUGCAGGUUAAAAUCUAUUGCCAUAGUUGACCUUGACUGACGAAGACACACACUAACAAAAAAAAUAAAAUAAAAUUCGCGGUUGUUAUAAGAUUGACUUGGUUGAUAUUA